rnacentral:rRNA from 1 species
UGAGGAGUAUUGGGCAAUGCCCGCAAGGGUGACCCAGCAACGCCGCGUGGAGGAUGAAUGUCGUAAGAUUGUAAACUCCUGUUAGAGGGGAAGAAUAGUACCGGUUGGACCGGUAUAUGACUGUACCCUCAGAGAAAGCCCCGGCUAACUACGUGCCAGCAGCCGCGGUAAUACGUAGGGGGCAAGCGUUGUCCGGAUUUACUGGGUGUAAAGGGCGCGCAGGCGGGAUAAAAAGUCAGUGGUGAAAUCCUACAGCUUAACUGUAGAACUGCCUUUGAUACUUUUAUUCUUGAGUUCGGGAGAGAGAGACGGAAUUCCAGGUGUAGUGGUGAAAUACGUAGAUAUCUGGAAGAACACCAGUUGCGAAGGCGGUCUCUUGGUCCGACACUGACGCUGAGGCGCGAAAGCGUGGGGAGCAAACA